GACGAACGCUGGCGGCGUGCUUAACACAUGCAAGUCGAACGGAAAGGCCCUGCUUUUGUGGGGUGCUCGAGUGGCGAACGGGUGAGUAACACGUGAGUAACCUGCCCUUGACUUUGGGAUAACUUCAGGAAACUGGGGCUAAUACCGGAUAGGAGCUCCUGCUGCAUGGUGGGGGUUGGAAAGUUUCGGCGGUUGGGGAUGGACUCGCGGCUUAUCAGCUUGUUGGUGGGGUAGUGGCUUACCAAGGCUUUGACGGGUAGCCGGCCUGAGAGGGUGACCGGCCACAUUGGGACUGAGAUACGGCCCAGACUCCUACGGGAGGCAGCAGUGGGGAAUAUUGCACAAUGGGCGGAAGCCUGAUGCAGCAACGCCGCGUGCGGGAUGACGGCCUUCGGGUUGUAAACCGCUUUCGCCUGUGACGAAGCGUGAGUGACGGUAAUGGGUAAAGAAGCACCGGCUAACUACGUGCCAGCAGCCGCGGUGAUACGUAGGGUGCGAGCGUUGUCCGGAUUUAUUGGGCGUAAAGGGCUCGUAGGUGGUUGAUCGCGUCGGAAGUGUAAUCUUGGGGCUUAACCCUGAGCGUGCUUUCGAUACGGGUUGACUUGAGGAAGGUAGGGGAGAAUGGGAUUCCUGGUGGAGCGGUGGAAUGCGCAGAUAUCAGGAGGAACACCAGUGGCGAAGGCGGUUCUCUGGGCCUUUCCUGACGCUGAGGAGCGAAAGCGUGGGGAGCGAACAGGCUUAGAUACCCUGGUAGUCCACGCUGUAAACGGUGGGUACUAGGUGUGGGGUCCAUUCCACGGGUUCCGUGCCGUAGCUAACGCUUUAAGUACCCCGCCUGGGGAGUACGGCCGCAAGGCUAAAACUCAAAGGAAUUGACGGGGCCCCGCACAAGCGGCGGAGCAUGCGGAUUAAUUCGAUGCAACGCGUAGAACCUUACCUGGGUUUGACAUGGAUCGGGAGUGCUCAGAGAUGGGUGUGCCUCUUUUGGGGUCGGUUCACAGGUGGUGCAUGCCUGUCGUCAGCUCGUGUCGUGAGAUGUUGGGUUAAGUCCCGCAACGAGCGCAACCCUUGUUCACUGUUGCCAGCACGUUAUGGUGGGGACUCAGUGGAGACCGCCGGGGUCAACUCGGAGGAAGGUGGGGAUGACGUCAAGUCAUCAUGCCCCUUAUGUCCAGGGCUUCACGCAUGCUACAAUGGCUGGUACAGAGAGUGGCGAGCCUGUGAGGGUGAGCGAAUCUCGGAAAGCCGGUCUCAGUUCGGAUUGGGGUCUGCAACUCGACCUCAUGAAGUCGGAGUCGCUAGUAAUCGCAGAUCAGCAACGCUGCGGUGAAUACGUUCCCGGG
rnacentral:rRNA from 1 species